rnacentral:rRNA from 1 species
UGAUAAACUGGAGGAAGGUGGGGAUGANGUCNAGUCAUCAUGGCCCUUACGAGUAGGGCUACACACGUGCUACAAUGGCGUAUACAAAGAGAAGCGACCUCGNGAGAGCAAGCGGACCUCAUAAAGUACGUCGUAGUCCGGAUUGGAGUCUGCAACUCGACUCCAUGAAGUCGGAAUCGCUAGUAAUCGUAGAUCAGAAUGCUACGGUGAAUACGUUCCCGGGCCUUGUACACACCGCCCGUCACACCAUGGGAGUGNNNUG